rnacentral:rRNA from 1 species
AGAACAAACGCUGGCGGCGUGUCUUAAGCAUGCAAGUUGAGCGGCAAGGAGGAGAGAUCCUCCCUAGAGCGGCGGACUGGUGAGUAACGCGUUGGGUAAUCUAUCGUAGGCAUGGGGAUAGUCACUAGAAAUAGUGGGUAAUACCGAAUACGUUCCCAUGAGGGGAGUACUUAUGGAAGAAAGGGUGCUACGGCACUGGCCUUAGGUGAGCUCGGUCCCAUUAGCUAGUUGGUGAGGUAAAGGCCCACCAAGGCGAUGAUGGGUAGCCGGCCUGAGAGGGUGUACGGCCACACUGGGACUGAGAUACGGCCCAGACUCCUACGGGAGGCAGCAGCUAAGAAUAUUCCGCAAUGGACGGAAGUCUGACGGAGCGACGCCGCGUGGAUGAAGAAGGCCGAAAGGUUGUAAAGUUCUUUUGCUAGGGGAGAAUAAGUGAGGGAGGGAAUGCCCUCAUGAUGACAAGGACUAGCGAAUAAGCCCCGGCCAACUACGUG